rnacentral:lncRNA from 1 species
AUGCCCACCCGGGCGGAACAGAGGGCCCUCACACCCAUGUGGUCAAAGCAGAAGCCCCCCCAGGGCGGAGCGGAAGGCCACCACCUCCACGUGGUCGCGGCCGAAGUCCCCCAGGGCGGAGCGGAUGACCACCACGUCCUCUUGGUCACCGCCGGAGUCCCCCAGGGCGGAGCGGAUGACCACCACGUCCUCAUGGUCACCGUAGGAGUCUCCCAGGGCGGAGCGGAUGACCACCACGUCCUCAUGGUCACUGUCGGAGUCCCCCAGGGCGAAGCGGUCUCGGGCACUGCAUCGGGAACGGCCUCCGGCACCGCAUCGGGAACGGUUUCGGGCCCCGCCUCGGCCUCCGGAAAAGCAUCGGACACCGCCUCGGCCUUGGGCACCGCCUCGGCCUCCGGAACAGCAUCGGGCACCGCCUCGGCCACCACUUCGGUCUCGGCCUCCGGAAAAGCAUCGGGCACCGCCUCGGCAUCGGCCUCUGGAACAGCCUCGGGCAUCGGCCUCUGGAACAGCCUCGGGCACCGCCUCGGGAACAGCAUUGGGCUCCGCCUCGGGAACGGGCACCGCCUCGGCAUCGGGCACCGCCUCGGCAUCGGGCACCGCCUCGGCAUCGGGCACCGCCUCGGCAUCGGGCACCGCCUCGGCAUCGGGCACCGCCUCGGCCUCUGGAACAGCAUCGGGCUCCGCCUCGGCCUCGGGAACAGCAUCGGCCUCUGGAACAGCAUCGGGCACCGCCUCGGCGUUGGGCACCACCUCGGGCACCGCCUCGGCAUUGGGAACAGCCUCGGGCUCCGCCUCGGGAACAGCCUCGGGCUCCGCCUCGGGCACCGCGUCGGCCUCUGGAACAGCAUCGGGCACCGCCUCUGCAUCGGCCUCUGGAACAGCAUCGGGCACCGCCUCGGCAUCGGGCACCACCUCGGCAUCGGGCACCACCUCGGCAUCGGGCUCCGCCUCGGGAACUGCAUCGGCCUCUGGGACUUUCUCCAGGCCUUGAGGGACGGUCGACGCCUGUCUCCUCCUCCUCCGUCCUCCACGAUGGCGAGUCGGCGGCACCUUGUCUGGAGACUCAGGCGUUGA